UGGUGUCAUUUGAGGAUGUGUCUGUGGACUUCACCUGGGAAGAGUGGCAGGAACCGGAUGAUGCUCAGAGAACUUUGUACAGGGAUGUGAUGCUAGAGACCUACAGCAACCUGGUGUUGUUGGGAUGCUACAUUACCAAACCCAAUGUGAUCUUCAAAUCAGAGCAAGAAGCAGAGGCAUGGAUGGUAGAAAACGCCCCAAACCAGAGCCUACAAGUUGGUUGAAUUCUUGGAUGUAAAUCAUGUGGAUGUGGAAGGCCAACUAACAAGUGUGGAAGCCUCUUCUGUCAAAAGUCACACCUCAGCAGACAUCUGAGAAGUCACACGGGAGAUAUUCUGUAUGGCAGAGACUAGCUAUGUAUUAUGCAAAAAUACUCUCCUUU